GCAAGUCGAGGGGCAGCGGGAUUGAAGCUUGCUUCAAUUGCCGGCGACCGGCGCACGGGUGAGUAACGCGUAUCCAACCUUCCGUACACUCAGGGAUAGCCUUUCGAAAGAAAGAUUAAUACCUGAUGGUAUGAUGAGAUUGCAUGAUAGCAUCAUUAAAGAUUCAUCGGUGUACGAUGGGGAUGCGUUCCAUUAGGUAGUAGGCGGGGUAACGGCCCACCUAGCCUACGAUGGAUAGGGGUUCUGAGAGGAAGGUCCCCCACAUUGGAACUGAGACACGGUCCAAACUCCUACGGGAGGCAGCAGUGAGGAAUAUUGGUCAAUGGACGAGAGUCUGAACCAGCCAAGUAGCGUGAAGGAUGAAGGUCCUACGGAUUGUAAACUUCUUUUAUAAGGGAAUAAAACCUCCCACGUGUGGGAGCUUGUAUGUACCUUAUGAAUAAGCAUCGGCUAACUCCGUGCCAGCAGCCGCGGUAAUACGGAGGAUGCGAGCGUUAUCCGGAUUUAUUGGGUCUAAAGGGAGCGCAGACGGGUCGUUAAGUCAGCUGUGAAAGUUUGGGGCUCAACCUUAAAAUUGCAGUUGAUACUGGCGUCCUUGAGUGCGGUUGAGGUGUGCGGAAUUCGUGGUGUAGCGGUGAAAUGCUUAGAUAUCACGAAGAACUCCGAUUGCGAAGGCAGCACACUAAGCCGUAACUGACGUUCAUGCUCGAAAGUGUGGGUAUCAAACAGGAUUAGAUACCCUGGUAGUCCACACGGUAAACGAUGGAUACUCGCUGUUGGCGAUAUACUGUCAGCGGCUUAGCGAAAGUGUUAAGUAUCCCACCUGGGGAGUACGCCGGCA
rnacentral:rRNA from 1 species